UCGUGACCCUGACCAAAACAGACCGUGCUCGCGUCAUCCAAUCCUCCGACGAUGGCAUUGUUCGUCGUUCGGCCAAUUCCUCGACCGCCUCCACUCCUAGGAGCGGGGGCUCGUGGUAAAAGAACCCACGGCGCCGAAGGCGUCAAGGAACACUGUGCCUAACCCGGGGAGAUGGCUAGCUUGCUGGUCGUCACCUGUGUUGCAAAUAUAUUUAAUCC
rnacentral:rRNA from 1 species